AUGUAUAUAUAUUAUUCACCUCCAUUCUCUUCCAUCUCACCUUCGCCCUUCUAUUCCAUCUCACCUUCAACCAGAAAACCACAGUUAAUUACAAACCAAAUUAGUAAGAGCGCACGGAAUCGGAGCUCCAGCUGACGAAGGUUGUGACAUGCCAGUCCGGCAUCAUCAUCGAGAUCUGCCUCCUUGGCAUGGGGCUUUCCGGCCAAAUCCCACCACACAUAAUCAAAAAUCUGACCCACCUUCACACACUCAGCCUCCGCUUCAACGCCCUCUCCGGCCUACUCCCAAACGACCUCGUUUCCAUUUUCGGCCUAACAGCGAAACCUCUUUUCUCUCCGAGGAUGUUAAAGACCGCUUCGAAGGAGCCAAACGAACAAUUAAUUCUGACGCCGAUCGACGAUUAAUUGAGAAUUGCUUAUCUAAAAUUGAGAAUUUUGUCCAAGUCAUGAACUGUGAUUGGUCUUUGCGCCUGAAAAUCUAUUCUACUUCUUGCUCCGGGUACGGCAACAACGAUGACGGCUUUGAAAUUUUGUGAUACAAGCGUUCAAUUAAAGACCAAAUGGGGAAGAGCUAGGUUUUAAGAAGCUUGGUUGGGUAUGGGGUCAGGAAUGACAACCCUAAAGCUUGUGCUGCCAAGAAUAAAUCAUGAGUUUUUGAAACAUUUUUUUAUUUGGAUUUACACAAUUGAAUUUUCAAGAUUGCAUUUUUAAUGGGACAAAUGAUCAUCUGAUUUGGUCCUAAAUAAAUCAAUUCUUGAGAUGUA